GAUGAACGCUGGCGGCGUGCCUAACACAUGCAAGUCGAACGGACAGACAAUAAGUUUGCGCCCUUGACGUUAGCGGCGGGCGGGUGAGUAACGCGUGCAUAACCUACUUCUAUUACGGGGAUGACUUCGGAACACCGGCUACAAUAAUAGAGAAUACAAUGUACGGCUGGGUGCAGGAGAGAUUCUCGGUUUGGGUGGCGCUUAUAGCCGGUUCCGUGCCGGAUUAGCUAGUGGGUAAGGUAACGGCCUACCAAGGCGACGAUGCGUAGCCGACCGGAGAGGGUGAUCGGCCACACUGGAACUGAGACACGGUCCAGACUCCUACGGGAGGCAGCAGUAGGGAAUCUUGGGCAAUGGGCGCAAGCCUGACGCAGCAAGGCCGCGUGAGUGAUGAAGGUCUUCGGGUCGUAAAGCCCUGUUUUUGGGGAAGAACAGAUGUGGAUGUAAACAUGGCCGUCGUGACGGUACCUAAAGAAAAAGCACCGGCUAACUACGUG
rnacentral:rRNA from 1 species